GUCCUAGUAGCUUAAAACUAAAGCACUG
rnacentral:tRNA from 2 species